rnacentral:tRNA from 1 species
GAGGAUAUAGCUCAGUGGUAGAGUGCAUGCUUAGCAUGCACGAGGUCCUGGGUUCGAUCCCCAGUACCUCU